rnacentral:tRNA from 1 species
GCAUCCGUAGCUCAGUGGAAAGAGUACUCGGCUACGAACCGAGCGGUCGGAGGUUCGAAUCCUCCCGGAUGCA